CUGCAGCCCGAGUGGUGAUCGAUUUUAUUGAGCCUAAAGCGUCCGUAGCCGGACUAGUAAACCCUUGGGUAAAUUGGGCAGCUUAACUGUCCAAAUUCCGAGGGGACUGCUAGUCUUGGGACCGGGAGAGGUCAGAGGUACUCAAGGGGUAGGGGCUAAAUCCUGUAAUCCUUUGGGGACCACCAGUGGCGAAGGCGUCUGACUAGAACGGAUCCGACGGUAAGGGACGAAACCCUGGGGCGCGAACCGGAUUAGAGACCCGUGUAGUCC
rnacentral:rRNA from 1 species